CCUACGGGGGGCUGCAGUGGGGAAUAUUGCACAAUGGGGGAAACCCUGAUGCAGCGACGCCGCGUGAGUGAAGAAGUAAUUCGUUAUGUAAAGCUCUAUCAGCAGGGCAGAAAAUGACGGUACCUGAGUAAGAAGCCCCGGCUAACUACGUGCCAGCAGCCGCGGUAAUACGUAGGGGGCAAUCGUUAUCCGGCUUUACUGGGUGGAAAGGGAGCGUAGACGGGAGUGCAAGUCUGGAGUGAAAGGCGGGGGCUCAACCCCCGGACUGCUCUGGAAACUGUACGGCUGGAGUGCAGGAGAGGUAAGUGGAAUUCCUGGUGUAGCGGUGAAAUGCGUAGAUAUUAGGAGGAACACCAGUGGCGAAGGCGGCUUACUGGACUGUAACUGACGUUGAGGCUCGAAAGCGUGGGGAGCAAACAGGAUUAGAUACCCGUGUAGUC
rnacentral:rRNA from 1 species